AUAGUGGGCCUUAUUCAAGAUGACGAAGAGGGUGCCUAUUGCAAGAAAGAUUUAAAGGAAUGCAUACUAUAAUACUAAUAGUGGUGGAAUAAUUGUCAAAGGAAAUGGAAAAACCAACAAAGGAAAUGGAAAAACUAACAUACCCGGGAGAGAAAUUUGCAGUCCUGUAACUUAAUAGAAUGGGAAACGAACAAAAUUUGGAAUAUAAAAUACUGAAGUGCUGAGAAAAACAUCUUUUAUCAACUUGAUCAGGACAAUAUAAAAAGGACAAUGUAAAUUCUAUCCAUUGAACAAAUUUACAUAUGUGUGCAUCAUUUCCACUUGUUUCUCAUGUUUUAGCUGUUCAGAGAAAAGUAAGGUUUAAACAUGCAAUAAAUCCAAAUUCUCAUUGGA